rnacentral:lncRNA from 1 species
CGGGAGCGGGGGUGCGGGAGCACGUCAAGCCAAGCCAAGCGGCUCGGACCGGGUCGCCGCGGCGCAGCUGUGGGUCCUCACCAGACAGCCGCUUGUUCACCAGACAGCCGCUUGGCGCUUCCGCACGCUGAUAUAGUCCGCUCCAAAAUGUGGACAACCCCCGCCGUCGUCUGCGGCGUCUGCCUGGCAUUAGUGACGUCCGCCCCGGCCAUCGACGACGCCGCCCCCGAUAACUACGUCUACGACUAUGACGACUACGCCGACUACGGCCCGACCAAGGAAUCGCUGCCGUUCACUAUCUUCGACGACGUAAAGCCGCGUCCGCCUGCGCCUGACGUCAAGCUGCCGUCAGCCUGCGCCUGGGCUGUGGUCCAGUGCUGCGCCAACCCUGACGCCAUGGGAAGCCGAAUCGGCUGUUUUUCAAACGUUGGUUGCUCCGGCGCCUGGCUACAAGACUUCUGCAAACCAGAAACCAAACAGCUAGUGCUGAAAAUGGUUUUGCAAUCUUUCCAGUUGACGCAUAAGAAAUAGGGUUGGCUAUUUGGGCGCUGCAACUGUUGUUGACGCAAUUCUAUAAUUUCAUGGUCAUUUGUCGCCGCGAAAUGCUGGAGUUUUAUGUCAAAAUUGACUCAAAAUCCGGCGUUUUCCGUUUGCGGUCAUGACAAUUUCUGCAUGGUCAACACGAUCACUUUUCAUCAUUUCAGGCACGCUAUAAGCCAUUCUCGGUCAGUAAAUUGUCAUUCUCAGGUACAUCGUGGAAACAGAACUGUCCAAAUGCAACUAUCUGUAAAGAGAAGGUGACAAUGCCUGAGAACGACUGGGAGCCUAUUGAUUGUGUUUUGGUCGCUUUAGAUACCAUAUUGUUGGUAACAGUCGACUGUGUCUGAAGAACUAUGAGGCACAAUCCACAACGACGGAGUCAUUUCAGUUGGCUAUGUGUACCGGCCAUCGAGAACUGCGCCAAGAAUGUGCGAAUGGUAACGAAUGUAAGUAAGUCGUGUGACUACGUGUGACUACUAAGCGUGUGAUUCGGACACAUAAGUGAGAUAAUGCACGGUUCGAUCAGGUGAAUCACCCUUAGAAGAUAGAUAUAUGAAUCUGGUCAGGUUAAUGCGUGUCUUAAUAACGCCGACUCAAAAAUUCGCAACCGUUGCGGAAGCCGCUGUGUCCAUGCUAGCCUGACCAAUGUGACGAUACGUCUGGUGUUUUCAUUCAUUGUAAAUAUCUUCCACUGGGUGGUUCCCGGUGACCAUUACACUCAUGAUGAAAUACAUCGCACUCGAUAAAAAACUGUUUUUCUUGGUGCGGCGCGUGACGACGCAAUGCCGGUGGUUAGCACUUGAAGAUGCUUUCGUGACAAAUUUUUACGUAGCUGUUUCCUCAGUGCCAACGAAACAACCGCCAUGAAACGCUUUCUCAUCACUGCGAGUCAUUAAAUCUUAUAAUGCAUAGUGCAGUAUAACACACAGCGAAACUAUGGGUGACCGCUAUGCGUAACUGCAUUGCAACAGUGCACGCCGUGGGAUGGCAAUAAACUCUCCUCGGUUUACGAUGUUCACUCA